GACGAACGCUGGCGGCGUGCCUAAUACAUGCAAGUAGAACGCAGUUGCGAACGGGUGAGUAACGCGUAGGUAACCUGCCUCAUAGCGGGGGAUAACUAUUGGAAACGAUAGCUAAUACCGCAUACUGUGAGAUGGACCUGCGUUGUAUUAGCUAGUUGUUGAGGUAAAGGCUCACCAAGGCGACGAUACAUAGCCGACCUGAGAGGGUUACCUGCCACACUGGGAUUGAGACACGGUCCAGACUCCUACGUGAGGCAGCAGUGGGGAAGAUUGCACAAUGGGCGCAAGCCUGAUACAGCCAUGCCGCGUGUAUGAAGAAGGCCUUCGGGUUGUAAAGUACUUUCAGCGGGGAGGCGUUACCCGCAGAAGAAGCACCGGCUAACUCCGUGCCAGCAGCCGCGGUAAUUC
rnacentral:rRNA from 1 species